UCAGGCUUUUCUGCCCGUCCGCCAUCAGGAUAGAUGAUGGAUCCUUGUCCUGAAUGCAUGCCUGAUGGCGGGCACCUGGAAUAGGGUGUGGGCAUAGGUAGAUGGGAUUCAGCUGAGUUAAGACUGCUUUUAAGGGCGGCGUCACGGGGACGCCAGCAGCAGCAGCCAGUAGAAGCCGAAGCCGAAAGAGAAGCCGAGAUCACCAGAGAGCCCAGAUAGAGUGAGGAUUUGCUGGGGGCUGGGAGGUCUGCCAGCCUCCCGGCCCCCCAACACCCCUACCUGCCAUAUGCCUGGAAUGGAAAAUAACUGCCAUCUGUUGAUGGGGCUGGCGGAUGCUAUGGACGCAGCGGUGCUCAGCUCUGGGCUCUUUCGGAAUCAGAGCGUUUGCUGGAUUUGGUGCUUGAAGAAAGAAAAUACCAAAUCAAGAAAUGGGAGCGAAUAAAUGACCUGUGCGUGCAAAAAGGAUUUUUUUUCUCCUGAUUUUUAUGAAUUUGGAGAUGGGAACAAUGUUUCUAACAAACCAAGAUUUUUAUUUCUUUCUCUAAGAGAUAUGGCUUUAGUCUUUUCCCCCCUCUACUGCUUUCCUGAAACAAUCUUCUAGGGUCUGAUUUUCUUCCUCCUUAAAAUAGACCAAAAUAGCCCUGUUGGUGACUAGAAUCAUGGAAGUGAAACAGACAAGGACUCGGCUUGCCUCACUCUCGUGGUCUGUCUGCUUCCAGACACAGUGCCUGGGUCUGCAGCUCACUGCCUCCCACCACCCUAAGUUAACUGACAUGAGGGGAAUGCAAGGAGAGCCUUGGACUCUUUUUUUAUACUCUCUUCUCUUCUAAAGAAUUCACAAAUUAGCAAGUAUUCAUCCAGUGUUAUCUAGAUGCUAUUGCCAAACAUAACAGACUAUACACAAAUCAACAAGGCCUCACUCACAAUGCAGUCCCAGCAGAAAGCCAUGCAGCAAAAGCAAUCCCCAAUCCUGGGUUGCCUGCCACACAAUUCUUGUUCCACGAUACAUGUUCAGUCAGGUCUAAGAUGCUGCCACCUUUUCUUGUGUCCAGCACUAGGAUUGCAACCACAGUCCUCUCCACCCAGAAUGUAUUACUUGGCUCUAAGAAAUACAAGAGGAAGUGCCCUCCCCAAAGAGAAAUCUAAACACAGAGUGAAACCACGACUUGUUUUCAACAGGCCUCCUGUUGUGAGCCCUCUCAAUUGUGCUGCCUUUCUGUAAGUGAGCAGGGGACUGGUGGUUUGAAGUGGCCUCUGCCUUUUCCUGAGGAUGUCUCUGACCAGGGUCUUGAGAUCUUUAGUCAUGACUUGGAGACUUACUAACAUAGCUAUUCAAACCAGAUCACGCUUUGUUAGGUAAGAAAAUGUGAUGUUCUAACACAUGGCUUGUUUGCAAACUGAGCCGUCAAUAAAUAGCGUUGUAAUAUAAUAACAAUAUAAUACUCCAAACUAGGGCAUCUUUUAUACUUCAUUUAUUUAAUAAUCAUUUACUAAGUACCUACUAUGUGCCAGAUUUUGUGCUGGGUGCAACAGUUACUAGGUAGGGAACAAAUUGCACUGUCCUCAGUGGGCUAUCCUUUUAAAUCUCUUCCUGAUCUUCCUCCAUCAAAUUUCAAGUUUAAUAAGAAGCUCCUAGUAUGUAUGGGGUAUAGCAGGGGAUGCACAGAGAGAAUGGUAGCUUCCACCUGGGCAGAAGAACAGCUGCUGCGCUUAUAGCUCCGUUUUGUAAAUUAGAUCCUCAUCCUCAGCUCAUGUAGUUCUCAUGCCAGAGUCUGGGGUUUGGCAACAGAGUGUGACCCGCUUUCCCUAGACUCACCUCUUUAGAAGUUCCUGAUCAGGAUGGUUUUCUUUCAUUCUUUUUUUUUUUUUAAA